UGGGGAAUAUUGGACAAUGGGCGCAAGCCUGAUCCAGCAAUGCCGCGUGAGUGAUGAAGGCCUUAGGGUUGUAAAGCUCUUUCGCACGCGACGAUGAUGACGGUAGCGUGAGAAGAAGCCCCGGCUAACUUCGUGCCAGCAGCCGCGGUAAUACGAAGGGGGCUAGCGUUGUUCGGAAUUACUGGGCGUAAAGGGCGCGUAGGCGGCCUGUUUAGUCAGAAGUGAAAGCCCCGGGCUCAACCUGGGAAUAGCUUUUGAUACUGGCAGGCUUGAGUUCCGGAGAGGAUGGUGGAAUUCCCAGUGUAGAGGUGAAAUUCGUAGAUAUUGGGAAGAACACCGGUGGCGAAGGCGGCCAUCUGGACGGACACUGACGCUGAGGCGCGAAAGCGUGGGGAGCAAACAGAUUAGAUACCCUGGUAGUCCACGCCGUAAACGAUGAAUGCUAGACGUCGGGGUGCAUGCACUUCGGUGUCGCCGCUAACGCAUUAAGCAUUCCGCCUGGGGAGUACGGCCGCAAGAUUAAAACUUAAAUGAAUUGACGGGGUCAUAGCUGUUUCCU
rnacentral:rRNA from 1 species